rnacentral:rRNA from 1 species
UGGGGAAUAUUGCACAAUGGGGGAAACCCUGAUGCAGCGACGCCGCGUGAACGAAGAAGGUAUUCGUAUCGUAAAGUUCUGUCCUAUGGGAAGAUAAUGACAGUACCAUAGAAGAAAGCUCCGGCUAAAUACGUGCCAGCAGCCGCGGUAAUACGUAUGGAGCGAGCGUUGUCCGGAAUUAUUGGGCGUAAAGGGUACGCAGGCGGUUUAAUAAGUCGAAUGUUAAAGAUCGGGGCUCAACCCCGUAAAGCAUUGGAAACUGAUAAACUUGAGUAGUGGAGAGGAAAGUGGAAUUCCUAGUGUAGUGGUGAAAUACGUAGAUAUUAGGAGGAAUAUCAGUAGCGAAGGCGACUUUCUGGACACAAACUGACGCUGAGGUACGAAAGCGUGGGGAGCAAACAGG